rnacentral:lncRNA from 1 species
AGAAGAGGAAGGUAAAUCCCAAACUCCUCUAAGGCAAAUUCAUAGAGCAAGGACUUUUGUUGAAAAAUACUGAAAACAGAGAAAGUUGGUUGGCUAAGAGUGGAGCCAAAAUCAUAAUCCAAGCUUGCAAGAUGGCAUUCUUCGUAGGCUUUGAGAAGUAUAGAACCAUCGUCCAAGCGCAUUUCCCCUCAAACAAUGUCAAGUUCCUAUAAACCGAUUGUCUGGAUGAGAGCUUGUUAAUUAUAGUGGCAGAUAGUGCGG